rnacentral:rRNA from 1 species
UUUUUGGUUAAGUUACUAAGGGCGUACGGUGGAUGCCUUGGCACAAGAAGGCGAUGAAGGACGUGGUUUAACUGCGAAAAGCUGCGGGGAGGCGUAAACAGCCUGAUAUCCGCAGAUGUCCGAAUGGGGCAACCCACCUCUAUGAGGUAUCCCGAAAGGGAGGCUAACCCGGGGAAGUGAAACAUCUCAGUACCCGGUGGAAAAGAAAACAAAAGUGAUUUCCCCAGUAGCGGCGAGCGAAAAGGAAAGAGCCCAAACCGGCUGCUGUUUCGGCAGCGCCGGGGUUGUAGGACUCCAUAACGUGACAGGAAUCGAUAGCAGAACUACCUGGAAAGGUAGGCCAAAGAGGGUGACAGCCCCGUAAGCGAAAUCGUGAACUGCACAGGAGGAUCCUGAGUAGCACGGGGUACGUGAGGUCCUGUGUGAACCAGCGAGAACCAUCUCGUAAGGCUAAAUACUCUCUUGUGACCGAUAGUGAACUAGUACCGUGAGGGAAAGGUGAAAAGUACCCUUAAGAAGGGAGUGAAAUAGU